rnacentral:rRNA from 1 species
AUGUCUCAGUACAAGCCAACAUUAAGGUGAAACCGCGAGAAGGCUCAUUACUCCUGACCAGAUAUGGUUCCUUAGAUCGUACCCACAUAUCCUUGGAUAACUUGUGAGUAAUUCUAGAGCUAACACAUGCAAACAGAGCUCCGACCGGAGACGGAAGGAGCGCUUUUAUUAGAUCAAAACCAAUCGGUGGCGGGUUCGCCCGUCAUCGUACAACUUGGUGACACUGAAUAACUUUAUGCUGAUCGCACGGUCUCGCACCGGCGACGCAUCUUUCAAAUGUCUGCCUUAUCAACUGUCGAUGGUAGGUUCUGCGCCUACCAUGGUUGUAACGGGUAACGGGGAAUCAGGGUUCGAUUCCGGAGAGGGAGCCUGAGAAACGGCUACCACAUCCAAGGAAGGCAGCAGGCGCGCAAAUUACCCACUCCCGGCACGGGGAGGUAGUGACGAAAAAUAACGAUACGGGACUCAUCCGAGGCCCCGUAAUCGGAAUGAGUACACUCUAAAUCCUUUAACGAGGAUCAAUUGGAGGGCAAGUCUGGUGCCAGCAGCCGCGGUAAUUCCAGCUCCAAUAGCGUAUAUUAAAGUUGUUGCGGUUAAAAAGCUCGUAGUCGGACCUGUGUCCCGCGCCGCCGGUUCAUCGUCCGCGGUGUCAACUGGCGUGUCGCGGGACGUCCUGCCGGUGGGCUUAGCUCGCAAGGGCGGCCCGACUCAAUCCCGCCGCGGUGCUCUUCACUGAGUGUCGAGGUGGGCCGGCACAUUUUACUUUGAACAAAUUAGAGUGCUUAAAGCAGGCUAAAACUUCGCCCUGAAUAUUCUGUGCAUGGAAUAAUAUAAUAGGACCUCGGUUCUAUUUUGUUGGUUUUCGGAACCCCGAGGUAAUGAUAAUUAGGAACGGAUGGGGGCAUUCGUAUUGCGA